CAACUACUCCCUCUGAUCCAAAUUUCUUGUCUUAGAUUUGUCUAGAUACGGAUGUAUCUAAUACUAAAAUGUGACUUGAUACAUCCGUAUCUAGACAAAUCUAAGACAAGAAUUUUGGGAUGGAGGGAGUACUUU
rfam:Triticum aestivum genome assembly, contig: Triticum_aestivum_CS42_TGACv1_scaffold_232065_3B